GCUGACCUCUUCAGCUUCAUGGGGUAUCCCGCAUUGCGAAGACUGUUUCCGGGGUGAAAAGGUUUGGUAAAGUGACGCUAGAGCGACAAGGUUAUUUCAUUGCGAAAACGUGAGCUAUGAGGGAAAAGCACGGUCUUCCUACCGGCAUCUUUAAGGGAAUUACUUCUGAAACAGCAGCAGCAGCGGUCACUUUAGACUGACAGCUAUGGAUGACUUUUGAAGUCAGCAUGGGACAGCCCUCUGACACUGUAGAAGCAGGCAGAAGGAUCAUGUUCUUCUACAUGAAAUUGUAAAAAGUCAAAGUGUACUUUGAGUGAAUAGCUUUUUAAUCUGCUUGCUAUGGCGAGCCCAGUGGUAGCAGUUAACCAUUUACUGCGAGGAAUUGCUGGAAGUUUCAGAGGGCAACAUACAUCUGUGCUGUGGAGGCCCAGAGUAUUGUGUAACUGCAUACUACAUAGAAAAAUGUCAUCAAGAAGAAAAGUUGACCAUCUAGAGAGGACUGCACACAAUCUGAGGCAUGAGGUUAUUUCUCAAGCAACAAUAUGUGGGAUUACAAAUGAAUCUGACAGAGUCAAAAGGAUUCGCCUAGCAGUAGCAAAUAAGGAAUUUACUUUUAAAGCAGGG